AUUGAACGCUGGCGGCAGGCCUAACACAUGCAAGUCGAGCGGGGUUUUCGGACCUAGCGGCGGACGGGUGAGUAAUGCGUAGGAAGCUACCCGAUAGAGGGGGAUACCAGUUGGAAACGACUGUUAAUACCGCACAAUGUCUACGGACCAAAGUGUGGGACCUUCGGGCCACAUGCUAUCGGAUGCGCCUACGUGGGAUUAGCUAGUUGGUGGGGUAAUGGCUCACCAAGGCGACGAUCCCUAGCUGGUUGGAGAGGAUGAUCAGCCACACUGGAACUGAGAAACGGGACAGACUCCUACGGGAGGCAGCGGUGGGGAAUAUUGGACAAUGGGCGCAAGCCUGAUCCAGCCAUGCCGCGUGUGUGAAGAAGGCCUUCGGGUUGUAAAGCACUUUCAGUAGGGAGGAAGGGUGUUGUGUUAAUAGCACAGCAUUUUGACGUUACCUACAGAAGAAGCACCGGCUAACUCUGUGCCAGCCGCCGCGGUAAAAC
rnacentral:rRNA from 1 species